AGUGAACGCUGGCGGUAGGCCUAACACAUGCAAGUCGAACGGCAGCACAGUAAGAGCUUGCUCUUACGGGUGGCGAGUGGCGGACGGGUGAGGAAUACAUCGGACUCUACUUUUUCGUGGGGGAUAACGUAGGGAAACUUACGCUAAUACCGCAUACGACCUACGGGUGAAAGCAGGGGAUCUUCGGACCUUGCGCGAUUGAAUGAGCCGAUGUCGGAUUAGCUAGUUGGCGGGGGAAAGGCCCACCAAGGCGACGAUCCGUAGCUGGUCUGAGAGGAUGAUCAGCCACACUGGAACUGAGACACGGUCCAGACUCCUACGGGAGGCAGCAGUGGGGAAUAUUGGACAAUGGGCGCAAGCCUGAUCCAGCCAUACCGCGUGGGUGAAGAAGGCCUUCGGGUUGUAAAGCCCUUUUGUUGGGAAAGAAAAGCAGCAGGUUAAUACCCCGCUGUUCUGACGGUACCCAAAGAAUAAGCACCGGCUAACUUCGUG
rnacentral:rRNA from 1 species